rnacentral:rRNA from 1 species
GACGAACGCUAGCUACAGGCUUAACACAUGCAAGUCGAGGGGCAGCACAGUGUAGCAAUACACGGGUGGCGACCGGCGCACGGGUGCGUAACGCGUAUCCAACCUUCCCGAUACUCUUGGAUAGCCCUCCGAAAGGGAGACUAAUACAAGAUGGUGUUUCACUUUCGCAUGUUAUUGAAACUAAAGAUUUAUCGGUAUCGGAUGGGGAUGCGUGACAUUAGAUAGUAGGCGGGGUAACGGCCCACCUAGUCUACGAUGUCUAGGGGUUCUGAGAGGAAGGUCCCCCACACUGGAACUGAGACACGGUCCAGACUCCUACGGGAGGCAGCAGUGAGGAAUAUUGGCCAAUGGUCGGAAGACUGAACCAGCCAAGUAGCGUGAAGGAUGAAGGUUCUAUGGAUUGUAAACUUCUUUUAUACGGGAAUAAAACCUCCCACGUGUGGGAGCUUGUAUGUACCGUAUGAAUAAGCAUCGGCUGACUCCGUGCCAGCCGCCGCUGUAACAC